rnacentral:rRNA from 1 species
GGUCAAGCGAACAAGUGCAUGUGGUGGAUGCCUUGGCGAUCACAGGCGAUGAAGGACGCGGUAGCCUGCGAAAAGCCCCGGGGAGCUGGCAAACAAGCUUUGAUCCGGGGAUGUCCGAAUGGGGAAACCCACUCCGUAUGGAGUAUCCAUGACUGAAUACAUAGGUCAUGUGAAGCGAACGCGGUGAACUGAAACAUCUAAGUAACCGCAGGAAAAGAAAUCAACCGAGAUUCCCAAAGUAGUGGCGAGCGAAAUGGGAUGAGCCUUGUACUCUUUAUUCGUAUUGUUAGCCGAACGCUCUGGAAAGUGCGGCCAUAGCAGGUGAUAGCCCUGUAGGCGAAAACAGUAUGAAAGAACUAGGUGUACGACAAGUAGGGCGGGACACGUGAAAUCCUGUCUGAAGAUGGGGGGACCAUCCUCCAAGGCUAAAUACUCGUGAUCGACCGAUAGUGAACCAGUACCGUGAGGGAAAGGCGAAAAGAACCCCGGGAGGGGAGUGAAAUAGAUCCUGAAACCGCAUGCAUACAAACAGUCGGAGCCUCGUAAGGGGUGACGGCGUACCUUUUGUAUAAUGGGUCAGCGACUUACGUUCAGUAGCAAGCUUAACCGUAUAGGGCAGGCGUAGCGAAAGCGAGUCCGAAUAGGGCGUUCAGUUGCUGGGCGUAGACCCGAAACCAGGUGAUCUAUCCAUGGCCAGGAUGAAGGUGCGGUAACACGUACUGGAGGUCCGAACCCACUAACGUUGAAAAGUUAGGGGAUGAGCUGUGGAUAGGGGUGAAAGGCUAAACAAACCUGGAAAUAGCUGGUUCUCUCCGAAAACUAUUUAGGUAGUGCCUCGUGUCUCACCUUCGGGGGUAGAGCACUGUCAUGGUUGGGGGGUCUAUUGCAGAUUACCCCGCCAUAGCAAACUCCGAAUACCGAAGAGUGCAAUCACGGGAGACAGACAUCGGGUGCUAACGUCCGGUGUCAAGAGGGAAACAACCCAGACCGCCAGCUAAGGUCCCCAAAUAUGGCUAAGUGGGAAACGAAGUGGGAAGGCUAAAACAGUCAGGAGGUUGGCUUAGAAGCAGCCACCCUUUAAAGAAAGCGUAAUAGCUCACUGAUCGAGUCGUCCUGCGCGGAAGAUGUAACGGGGCUAAGCCAUAUACCGAAGCUGCGGAUGCG